UUAAUAACACAAUUACAUAUGCAACUGAAAAUCUCAGGUCUCUAAUUACUUGAGCUUCUUAUGGGACAGUGUCAUCAAACUGAAGAAGUGUUAUGGGGUUUAGCUGUUGUGUGUGAGACAUCUGAGCCCUCCUGGCUGCCAGAGCCACCCUGCCCUGGCUGCUUCCCUCUUCCUCUCUCUGGCCACAUUACCUCUGCACCCCUGACCAGCUGCAGCUGCUUGGUAAAUUGGACGGAGGAGUUGAUCCUUUAGAGAAAUAGGUGGUGUUAGCACUUGUGCAGCCUGGGGUGGUGUGGAGGUGGAAAUAAAUUCCAAGGAGGGGAAAAAAAAAAGUCAUGGUUUAGUCCAAGCUGGCAACAAAGUAUGAUGCAGAUGUUCAAUUUUCACCCCAUGGCCCCAUUGGCAUGAGGAGGAGAAUCAGAAAAAAAGAUAAAACCUGUGGGUUAUGAUGAGUAGUUUAAUAACUGAAAUAAAAUGUAAUAACAGCAACAACAAUAAUGAAAAGGAAGACAACAAAAAUAGAGAAAUAAAACUCAGGAGAGACACGUGAUGCACAGUGCAACUUCUUACCACCCACUGACUAGAGCCCAGACUGUCCCGGAAGAGCAAUCAGCCCCUCCCAGCCAACUCCUCUCAAUUUAUGUACUGCAAGAUGUUCUAUGGUAUAGACUAUACCUUUGGCCAGUUCAGAUCAGCUGUCCUGGCCAUGCUCCCUCCUGGCUUCCUGUUCCCUUCCUCACUGGCAGGGCAAGGGAAACUGAAAGGUCCUUGAUUUAAAGUAAGCACUACGAGCAACAACUAAACCACUGCUUUGUUGUCAACAUUCUUCUCAUACUAAAACCAAACCCAAAGGACUAGGAAGAAAAUUAACUCUAUCCCAGCUGGAAACAGGACAAGAAGCAGGGUCUAAUUUUUUUUAGAUAACCAUGUCAUCUCAGUACUGUCAAUCUGCAGCCUCAGAAGAGAAAAAAUAAUGGGCUCGUUGCAUUUAAGGGGAGAUAAAUGGUUUCAUUUGAGUAAACUAGGCAUUGAUGCUACAGUUGUAAGGAACAAUUGUCUAUAUUUAUGAAACAACUACAGUUCAGUCUUGCAAAUCCUUUUUCAGUCACAAGGGUGACCGUUCUGCUAACAAAAUGUCCUUAUCUUUUUACUGAGGUGAAAAAUAUUAUGAUUGGGAGACAGAUGGAUUUUGCUGUGUGCUGUCCUGGGGAAAGAUGUGACUGCUGAUCGCCAUCACCUUGGGGGAGGCUGGUACGAUAUCUGAUCACCUGCUGAUCAAACAUUCCCUGAAGUGUGGUAGAAGGCAGGAAGAAUGAUGCUUGCUAAUUUGAAUUUCAGAAAGCACCUAAACUUCAUUCUGAUCUCCAGAGAUUAUGGAAAACAAUUAAUUGCCUGCUUUCACAAAAAAUGUCUCUGAAAAUUGGAGAACUGCUGUCAAGCCUCCUCCUAGUCUUUCCUCUCCUGGAUUCAGCUUUGCAAGCUCAGUUCUUGCAGUCUUAUGCUAGAAAACUUUUUUUAAAGUUCAUACUUAUUUUGGAUUUUGGGACUUUCUCCAGCUGGUUGAUGUAUUGUAUUGACAUGUGAUAACCUGCAGUGGUCACAGGGAUCCAGGUAAAGAAUUACCAGCUCUGAGUAGAAAGAAAGGAACGUUUUGUGUGUUUAACAUAAAAUGUACUAAUUUUAUCUAACCCAGCAUGAUUGCUUCUUAGCCAGUUGUACAGUUUUAUUGUUUGUUUGUGAUCCAUUCUAAUUGCCAGAUUCUUUUUUGCACUGUGUUUGUCUGAUUAGUCAUUCUCCCUUUUAUAUUUGUGCAGGUAAUUUUACUUGUACAGGAACAUGUGAAUUCACUUAAUUGCUUAGCUGGAUUCAGAUUUCUGCUGUGCACCAAGAUCAUUUAAAAUAUACAUUCUGCACUCUGAUGGGUUUGAAGUCUUUUUAGCUUAGUGUAAUUUUCAAACGCAAAAAGCAUCUUAAUCACCUACCAGUUCAACAGUGAACAUGUCAUGCAGAUUCUUGCAGAACCUGACCUGAUGCAUCUUCCUCAUUUAAAAAUGAAUCACUAAUAACUAUUGGUAACUAAUUCUGUGAAUAGGAUUUCCCAAAUAACUACCUACCUCAAAUCUGCUUGUCUAUGCAAGUGUCCUGUGAGAUGUCAAAAGCCAAAAUCCAGAUGCAUGACAGUGUUUUUUCUCUUCUGUCCAUAAAUCUUGUUAUCUACUGUAGACAGAAAGAAAUUUGCUCUUACACGAUUUAUUUAUUAGAAAUUCUUUUGUCUCUUACACCAUGUUUAUAUUCAAAAUUCUUACAAAUAGACCUUUUCAUUAUUUGUUCUGAUAUUUUUCUGGUAAUUGAAGUUAAGCUCUUCUCCUUUUUGACAUUUUAAAAGUAAGUGUUUGCCCUUUCUAGUCUUCUGGAAUUCUUGUCCCUCAAGUUGUUAAAUACAAUUGUUAAUGGCUAAUAAAAUGUUUUCAGUGUUCUCAGAACUGAAUUACAUCAGACCUAGCCAACCUGAAAACAACUACAUUAUCUACGUAGAUUCUACCCUUAUUUUUUCUUUUUUUUUUGCCUGAUUUUCACUCUUCUAUUUAUGAUUUUAAUGGGGUUGGCUAUGACAUUAAAACUGAUCUUUUAAGCAAAGGCUAAAGCCAAAAGAUCAUUGAACACUUUCAAGAUAAAGUAAUAAUGCUGUAAGUAUGAUAGCCUAAGAGUAUAAGCAAGGAAAGGUAGUGGAGAAAAAGCAAUCUCUCCCAUUAAACCAAUUGAUGUAGCUGGAAAAUAGACAAGCAUCUGCCUCUGUAAUGGGGUUUGUGUUCCUGAAGACUUUUUUGUUUUUUUACUACUAAAUUAGUCAGUUUAAUAAAAGGUAUAACUUUGCUCCCCUGCUCCUGAAUCAACACUUUAGCCUAUUUGCCAG